CUGGGAACGCCCGACACGGAAAUGUUUUCUUUCGACGCUGCGUAGGUCUGUGGGCGCUUGGCUUUUCUCUCUGUGGUUUUGAGAGUUAGCUUCUCGUGAACCGUUUGUCAAUAUGUGUGACGCACACGAGGGUAUGCAGUAUGAGGAGGAGGAGGAUGAAAUCCCCCAGAUUUGUGGCAAGAGGCAUGCUAGAUUGUAAUCAGCCAAGAUAUUUGCUGAAGUUUGAACAGCUUUACCUCUCCAAGCCCAUAAGAGAUGGUGCUGCUUCACCAGUGUUGCCACGUGAAGCCAGAUUAAGAAAUCUCACAAACAGUCAUUAAAGAAGGUGAAGAACAACUUCAGAUGCAGCAUCAGAAAACCUUUAUUGGUAAAGUUCCAGUUAUGUUGCAUUCAAUUUACUAUCUACUAAAUGGCUUAGCAGAUCAUGAUCUUUGUGAGUUACAUGGAUGCCUCUUGGAUCCUGAUGGCUACUUCAUUAUUAAUGGAUCAGAAAAGGUUCUGAUUGGUCAAGAGAAAAUGGCAACAAACACAACCUUUGUGUUUGCCAAAAAGGAUUCUAAAUAUGCCUACAGGAGAGUGUAGAUCAUGUCUGGAGAAUUCUUUUGACCCACUAUCUGGGUUAGCAUGCUGGCAAGAGGAGGACAGCCUACUCAAUGUGAAUCAAGACUACUAGGAUGGGGCUUCCCUGGUGGCGCAGUGGUUGAGAGUCCGGCCUGCCGAUGCAGGGGACGUGGGUUCGUACCCCGGUCUGGGAAGAUCCCACAUGCUGCGGAGCGGCUGGGCCCGUGAGCCAUGCCUGCUGAGCCUGCGUGUCCGGAGCCUGUGCUCCGCAACGGGAGAGACCACAGCAGUGAGAGGCCCAUGUACCGCAAAAAAAAUAAAAUAAAGCAAAAAGACUACUAGGAUGAAGACCUUUGUGAUGAUCCACUUCUACUUAAUGAAUAGUAGGCAGUCAUCAUGUGCUACAGUUAAUAAACUUAUUUGUUAUGUAUGUGUGUGUCUUUCUAUGAAAAUCUAAUAACUACUGCAAGAACCAUGAGACAUUGUGUCAUCACCACCAUCAUCAUCAUUGCCUAAAUAUCAUCAUGUAGAACAUCAUAUUCAAGACUUGUAUUGAAGUGGCUAGCCUACCUUAUAUAGGAAUAAGGUGAUACUUAAUAUAAAAUUAAUAAUGUAUUAGUUUUCCUACUGUUCUAUAACUUUGCUUUCAAAGUUAUAUACAUUACCAUACAGUAUGCCUCUGUCUUCCCUUCUAAUUGGAGAAACUGCGUAUCACGAUGUCACCAUAGGUAAGUGGAUUUUUAAAAAUGUAAGUGUUUCCAACACUGUAUUAUGAAUAUGACUGUAUGCCAUAACAUUUUUAUAAGGAUUCAUUCACUGUAUAAGCUAAGCUACUGUGAAGCAAUUGUAUCAAUUACACUAAGCUUACCAUGAAGUAAUCAUAUUGCUGCUUCUGUAUUAUUAUAUUAUAUAUAUAUAUAAAUAUAUCUGUAUAUAAAUAUGAAUUUGUUUUUACACAUUAUCUUUUCAUUUGUGAUGUCUAGAGUUAGUAAUUCACAUAGUAUCUACAGUGUUUCAUAUCAUAUACAAUAAUAUGGAUGUUAGGUACUGACAUAAUCUCAUAAACAGAUGACAUUAACUUGUAUUGAUAUAGUCUCUAGUUUAUUGUAAGAGUACAAUAAUAUUAUAUAUAGUAUCAUGUAUUUUGUAUAACGGUACUAUUAUCAUAUAGUAGUACUAUUGUAUAAUAGUGUAUGUGUAGCAUAUAAUAUUGAUACAAGUAACAUAAAAUAUGUGUUAAUUGACUAUAUUAUCGGUAAGGUGGUCAGCAGUAGGCUAUUGGUUGUUAAGGUGCGGGGGAGUCAAAAAUUAUAUAUGGAUGUUUGACUGCACUGGUGUUGGCACCCCUAACCCCCAUGUUGUUCGAGGGCCACCUGUACAAGCAUCCUUGAAAAGAUAGCCUGGAUCAAAGGCAGUCAUUGCCUCUGCUUACAACAUGUGCAAAACCAUGAGAGAUCCAUGGAGAAUUGUCUCCCAACAUUUAGUAGACAUUUGUAACAAGUAAUAUGCAUAAACUGAAAGAAAAAUAUUUUACUUUAAACAACUGCAGUCACUUGGUGAUGGAAUGUAUAUACCUAUGGGGCACUGCACAACUCCUCAAACCUUGGAAUCAGAUUGGACACCACUACCCCAUUCCCUGUUCCACAUUGAUUUCUUAGAGGACUUGCUUUUUAUCACAGCAACCACCAAAAACCUAGAUUCAGAAAUAUCUCAUGUCAUCAAAAAGUAGUGCUAUCUCAUGUUGAAACUGAACUACCUCAAAUUAGUAGUUUAUGUGGUAUAUAUCAGAUGUUGAGGAUUACUGUGUUUUUCUCAAAAAUUUGACACAUCCCAUGGUGCUCUUGUGAGCUCACUGAGGCACUUUGGGACAACUUGGGAACUAUAGCCCUAAGCAGUGGUGGAAGAAGCACUGAUUCUGAAUGACCUCACAGAGUAGCGCUGUUUCGGUAGCCUAGACUAAAUGGUUGUUGUUAUACCAGAGAGAAAUAAACUUCUAUCCUCUUCCAGUCAGAUCUGUGGAUGUUUUUGUUGCAGUAGCAUAGUCUCUAUCCUAAUUAGUACAAUCUCCUAAUAAAUUGGGCUGCGUCUCAUAAUGUAGUAUUUGAUGACAUGUUCUUGUAUUGUGAAAACAGUAUUCACUGUGUGUUUCUUUUGUCUUUCCAACUUCAGUCAUCACCUCAGUCCACAUUUAUUGAGCCCCUGCUA